rnacentral:rRNA from 1 species
AUUGAACGCUGGCGGCAGGCCUUACACAUGCAAGUCGAACGAGUGGCGGACGGGUGAGUAAUGUCUCGGAACCUGCCCGAUGGAGGGGGAUAACUACUCGAAACUGUGGCUAAUACCGCAUACCAUCGGAUCUGCCCAGAUCGGAUUAGCUAGUUGGUGGGGUAAAGGCUCACCAAGGCGACGAUCCCUAGCUGGUUUGAGAGGACGACCAGCCACACGGGAACUGAGACACGGGCCAGACUCCUACGGGAGGCAGCAGUGGGGAAUUUUGGACAAUGGGCGAAAGCCUGAUGCAGCCAUGCCGCGUGUGUGAAGAAGGCCUUCGGGUUGUAAAGCACUUUCAGCAGGGAGGCGUUACCCGCAGAAGAAGCACCGGCUAACUCCGUGCCAGCAGCCGCGGUAAUUC